rnacentral:rRNA from 1 species
GAUGAACGCUAGCGGCAGGCCUAAUACAUGCAAGUCGGACGGGAUUCAGGAGCUUGCUUCUGCUGAGAGUGGCGCACGGGUGCGUAGCACGUAUGUAACCUACCUUUAUCAGGGGGAUAGCCUCUCGAAAGAGAGAUUAAGCCCGCAUAAAAUCACAGCACAGCAUUGUGUAAUGAUCAAAUAUUUAUAGGAUAAAGAUGGGCAUGCGGAACAUUAGCUAGAUGGCGGGGUAACGGCCCACCAUGGCGACGAUGUUUAGGGGAUCUGAGAGGAUGGCCCCCCACACUGGUACUGAGACACGGACCAGACUCCUACGGGAGGCAGCAGUAAGGAAUAUUGGUCAAUGGGCGGAAGCCUGAACCAGCCAUGCCGCGUGCAGGAAGACGGCCCUACGGGUUGUAAACUGCUUUUAUACGGGAAUAAACCCAGAUACGUGUAUCUGGCUGAAUGUACUGUAAGAAUAAGGAUCGGCUAACUCCGUG